UAUCUCAGUUGGUAAAGAAUCUGCCUGCAAUGCAGGAGACCCUGGUUCAAUUCCUGG
rnacentral:tRNA from 1 species